rnacentral:rRNA from 1 species
ACUUUUGGACAUUGGGGGCAACCCGCAUCCAGCCAUCCCGGGUGUGAGAUGAAGGUCUCGGGAUUGUAAGGCGCUUUUGGAAGGGCAGACAAGGCUCUGGCUAACAACUGGGGCUGCUGACGGUACGUGCAGAAUAAGGACCGCAUAACUACGUGCCAGAAGCCGCGGUAAUACGUAGGGUGCAAGCGUUAAUCGGAAUUACUGGGCGUAAAGCGUGCGCAGGCGGUUCGGCAAGAAGGAUGUGAAAUCCCAGGGCUUAACCUUGGAACUGCAUUCUUAACUGCCGGGCUAGAGUAUGUCAGAGGGGGGUAGAAUUCCGCGUGUAGCAGUGAAAUGCGUAGAGAUGCGGAGGAAUACCGAUGGCGAAGGCAGCCCCCUGGGAUAAUACUGACGCUCAUGCACGAAAGCGUGGGGAGCAAAC